rnacentral:rRNA from 1 species
UACAGAGGGUGCGAGCGUUAAUCGGAAUUACUGGGCGUAAAGCGUGCGCAGGCGGUUUUGUAAGACCGAUGUGAAAUCCCCGGGCUUAACCUGGGAACUGCAUUGGUGACUGCAAGGCUUGAGUGUGUCAGAGGGAGGUGGAAUUCCGCGUGUAGCAGUGAAAUGCGUAGAUAUGCGGAGGAACACCGAUGGCGAAGGCAGCCUCCUGGGAUAACACUGACGCUCAUGCACGAAAGCGUGGGGAGCAAACAGG